rnacentral:rRNA from 1 species
GAUGAACGCUGACAGCAUGCUUAACACAUGCAAGUCUUUGGCGAAGCUGUGCUUGCACAGCCUAGCCAAGGCGGGCGGGUGAGGAGCGCGAAAGGAACUUGCCCUGCCGUCAGGGAUAACAGAAGGAAAGGACUGAUAAGACCUGGUAAAGUCAUGCGGACUACUGUCCAGCCCGAUGAAAAGAGAUGCUGUAGGAGAGCCUUGCGUCCUAGUACAUUGUUGGUGGGGUAACGGCCCACCAAGGCGAUGAUAGGGAGCCGGCCGGAGAGGGGGGACGGCCACAAGGGCACUGAGAUACAGCCCUUACUCCUACGGGAGGCAGCAGUGGGGAAUAUUGGACCAUGGGGGCAACCCUGAUCCAGCAAUUCUGUGUGCACGAUGAAGGUUUUCGGAUUGAAAAGUGCUUUCAGCAGGGAAGAACAAAAUGACGGUACCUGCAGAAGAAGCGACGGCUAAAUACGUG